CGCGGCCUAUCAGCUUGUUGGUGAGGUAAUGGCUCACCAAGGCUUCGACGGGUAGCCGGCCUGAGAGGGCGACCGGCCACACUGGGACUGAGAUACGGCCCAGACUCCUACGGGAGGCAGCAGUGGGGAAUAUUGCACAAUGGGCGCAAGCCUGAUGCAGCAACGCCGCGUGCGGGAUGACGGCCUUCGGGUUGUAAACCGCUUUCAGUAGGGACGAAGCUAACGUGACGGUACCUACAGAAGAAGGACCGGCUAACUACGUGCCAGCAGCCACGGUGAUACGUAGGGUCCGAGCGUUGUCCGGAAUUAUUGGGCGUAAAGGGCUUGUAGGCGGUCCGUCGCGUCAGGAGUGAAAACUCGGGGCUUAACCCCGAGCCUGCUUUUGAUACGGGCGGACUAGAGGGAUGCAGGGGAGAACGGAAUUCCUGGUGGAGCGGUGGAAUGCGCAGAUAUCAGGAGGAACACCGGUGGCGAAGGCGGUUCUCUGGGCAUCACCUGGCGCUGAGAAGCGAAAGCGUGGGGAGCAAACGGGCUUAGAUACCCUGGUAGUCCACGCCGUAAACGGUGGGCACUAGGUGUGGGGGACAUUCCACGUUCUCCGUGCCGAAGCUAACGCAUUAAGUGCCCCGCCUGGGGAGUACGG
rnacentral:rRNA from 1 species